CUGGUUAACACAUGCGGGAACUGAAGCAGAAAGAGGAGAGAGACAAUCACAUUGCUAACAACAGGGAGUGAACAGGGGGCUGCUUUUAACCUAGUUCAGAUUCAGUGGAAAAAAUGCUUAAUGAAGACUCAGAAGAAUGAAGACCAAAGAAAUCAGAAGAUAACAGAAGAUGUCAAAUGCUCUUUGAGAAGGAAGACAAAGCUAUAAAGUAAAGGAGGAAAUCCAUCAACUGGGUGGAUAGCCCCAGACAACUCUUUAGGGGGAUGAGAAGCCCGCAGUGGGAGGAAUAAGGAAACAACUUAUUUACAUGGAGAGCUCGAAAAUUCCAUCCUCACUAGACAAAGAAGCCAAUGACGAUGAGUGAUUGAUAUUCUGAAAUUUCUGCCCCACUUUCACAGCCAUACUAUAAAUCAGACAAGAUAUGAAUUCCUGACACCCAACCAAUGGGAUCACAUCUGGGAAAGGCAUCAGCAACACAAGCAGAGGGUCCAGGAGGUCUGCCUCUGUUUUCCUUGAGUCUGGAUUUCAUACCCCGUCUUGUGUCUCGUCUUUCUUUUUCCAUCUGGGUGUCCAUGCAAGCCAGUUACACUGGCAUUUCCUGGACCCCAGUGCAAAGGAGGAGACGUGCUAUCGAUUCAUUCCAGAUUCAACUUGACUUCAAUCAAAUGAUCAGUCAACAAACUUUUAGUAAGAGGUCAUUGAGAAGAAAGCCGCCGUCUAUAUCAAAUGAUUUAUAGUAGCAAUUUCUGUAGUAGCAAAGAACUGAAGCAAAGUAGAAGUCCAUCAGCUCUCUGUGCCUCAGUUUCCUCAUCAAUCAAAUGACAAAAAUGAUAACUGCAAUCCUUACCUCACAGAAUUGGUGUGUCAGAAGAGCAAAUUAUGUAAAGUGCUUCUCAGAUCUUAGAGUAUCAUGUAAAUGUCUGUUACUGUUUCAUUAUUAUGAUGUCUUGAGGUUCUCUGCAAUGGAAGACUUCAAUAUGUCACUAGGUGAGUUUUGGGUUUGUGGAAUGGAGAAAUGAAGAAUCUCUGGCAGUCUUAUCAACAUGAACUAACUAACGAUUAGAUGACAGUGUUCUGUACCCAGUAGGUUAAUCAAUAAACCAUCAAGUAUUUAUUAAGCACCAA